AAAAAAUAAAAUGUUCUUAAAUUGUUCACAUAUGUUGACCUGCUACAUCAUAACGCCUCACCAUGGACCUUUCCCGAGUUUACCACUUGUAUUUACAAAUUCUCUGGCUUUUAAUGUCCAAAUCAGCUGUUAAAGUGUGAAUUUCCUACUUCACGAGGACAUCCAAAUGCAUCACGAGCCACGCGCCAAAAUUAGCAGUUGUGGCUAGCGGACCUUAUCGCAUCAGUUCACCAGAGAGCCAAGGUGGGGCAGCGACCAAGCAAGGUAAGGUAGAAAUUCGAUGUAGUUAAACAUCAGCUAACCAAGAGAAUUGCCAGUCAAAUUAGAAAGGCAUAGGGGAUGUAUGGAGGGGCGCUCCAAAUAUAACAAGUUGACAGAAUAACUUAAUGAACUGUUAGCUGAUUUAACUUUGUUAAGCUAGCUCGCUAACUGCAAAACCCGUUUUGCUAGCUAGCUGCCUCGCUGAUGGGGUGUGUACAACGACUGUAGCUAAUUAGUCUCAUGUAAAUAAACUGUCUGUAGCUUAUACCAGGUCAACUGACAUUAAUAUCAUGCGUUUUCCUUUGGUGUUCAGUAAUUGUAUCUGUUAAACCUAGCUAACAUUAAGGACUGCCUCAAGUCGCAUGGCGCGAAGGGGAUUUGAUAUGAUAAGGAAGGUUAACAUUAGCCAGUUGGUUGUGAGUCUCAGCAAUGGACAAAAUAAUUUCCGUCAUAUUUAUGUUUGUUGUUAUUUUAGUUGUUUGUUUGUUUGCUUUUUAAUGACAUGAACUCUUUUCCCGUUUACUGUAACUUGCAGAUUGCUUUUUCAUUGUGAGAUGGAGACAUUAGAUGAGGCAACUGUGUCACUCUUACAAGCAGGACAUGCCAUUGCUUUGUUCAAGGCACUUCCUUCAAUGUUCCCUUCUCCAAUGCCCCCACCCAAAAAGCUUGGACCAGCAUGUGAGGCACUGUUCCAUGUUCUUGAGCCAUCUGAGGACCCCAAUAUGUUUCUCCAGAGACGGCCCAUCACCAGUCC